rnacentral:lncRNA from 1 species
CCCACUCCAUUCCAUUUCCUCUUGUAAUUGGUCCAGUUCAAGAACUACUGGGCUUGCUCCAAGUCUCUUGUUCUAUCCAUUGUCUUAAUGAGAUAAAAUUGAUCAAAUGGUAGAGCUAAAAUGAUUGAUUGAUUGCUAUAAUAACACGGUGCGGAUGAAUUUUGCAGUCAAACCUCGAUAUAACAAUUAUUUGUUAUGAUAAUAUUUCACUAUAACAAUCUAAUUUUCUUUAGAACAGAUUUUUCAUGAUAUAUUUUACUCAUUUAUAACAAUAUUCUACCUAUUACAAUAGUGAAUUCAUUAUAGCAACACACUCAUUGUAAAAUUAGAUGUCUAUGAUAAUCAUACUCAAAUAUUACGUAAAAAAAUAUAUUAUGUAUAAAAAUAAAUAUUCAAAUAUUCAUGGUAAUUAUCACUAUUGUAAUGCAUAUAAUAAAUUUCAAAUAUGAGUAUCUCAAAUGUUGCUCGUCACUUAUAGUCAUAAAUUCACACUAGUGUUUUGACUUUUUAUAUUCAUAUUCUUUUUUAUUAAAUUGGUUAACGAAUACAUUCCUUCUUUAUAUACACCAUCAUUAGUUUUUGUAUUAUUUAUUUAUAACAGUUUGGUCUAAAUGUUACAUGUCACUGUGUGAGUAUACAUAUAACAUCACCAAGGAAAAAUUAUGUGACUUGGAAAACAUUGUGAGUUUACUAUUUAAUAAGGGUGAUUAUAGUUUAAUAUAGUUUGCUAUUAAAUAUGGGCCACACCUACUUUGUAUACUGAAUCAAAAAUGAUCUUCUCGGCUUUUGUAUACUCAUUUAUUCAAACACAAUUUUAUCUAUCCUCUCCCUAUUCCCUAAUUCUCUCAUGAAAUCACUCAUACACAUCCAAUUUGAAUUUCAAAAUUUACUCCCUCCCUCCUAAUAGUGAUUUCACUAUUGUAGGUAUUUGUCCAAAUUUUUGUUGGGUUUAACACAAGAUUUUGCAGGUAGCCGUCCAAAUUUUUGCUGGGUUUAACGCAAGAUUUUGGAAUCAACGCAGGAUCUAUUGCAAAAUCUAGAGAAAUUGAAGAGGAAAAAUUUAUUCAGGAAUUGAAAUCCAAUAAACAAAACGAUCCAAUGACAUUGCAGCAAGUUAUCAAUAAUGUUAAGGCAAGCGACAUCAAAAGAGUUGAAGGGGGAAAGGUGGUUCAUUAGAUCUUGACAAAUCUAAAGAACCACAUGUAUUCGUAUAUAUCUUAAAUGUAUAUAGCAAUUUGUAUAUUUAUUAGUUAUUAUUUAUACACAUACAAAAUUGUGAUUUAGUUCCAUAUAUACAUAACUAUAUUGAGGUGUAUUUAUAUAUUUGUAUAUUUAAAUCAUAUGUUCAUAUACGUAUACAAUCUAUAAUUAUAUACAAUUACAAAUAGUUCUAUCUUUUAUACAAAAUUACAAAUAUUUGUAUAUUUAUGCAGAUGCAUAAGUAGUAAUUAAUUUGUAUAAAUAUUGAUGUUAGUAUCGUAGUAGAACUAAUGAUGUGUAAAUACACGCAACUGAUUUAAUAAAGAUGAUGCAGAAUACUUAUGUUUUUACCUAAUGAAUGUAUUGGAAUAUAUUACGUAUGGAUGAUCACUAAAAUUUUAUUUUCCUACAAUAAGGUUACUAAACUACUUUUGGAUUAAAAAGUUAGGAUGGUCGCUAAAUUUUUAAUUUCUUGCAAUAAAGUUCGUAAAUUAUUUAUGUAAUAAAAAAAUCAUUCAUUCAACUUUACUAUGAAAUAGUAUAAUGAAGAUAGCUAAAAAUAAAUUUAAUAAAAAAGUCACAUUGCCUAAUUGCCAUAAAAAUCACUAGGCCAAAAAAAAAUUAAGAAGAUAUGGCUCUACAACGAACAUAAUAUUUUCUUUGAUACUUAGGCAAAAUCGAAAAUCUUUUUAUAAUAAUUUUUUAUACUUUUUAUGAUAAUUAAAUUUAAUUAAGUUAUAACUUUCUUGUUAUGAAGAAUAACUUCUAACUUUUUUGCGAUAAAUUAAAAGUUGAGAGACAUAUAGGUAAACCCUUUUUCAAAGGAUGGAUCAUAAUCUAAUUAAUAAAAGUUUAAUAUUCUUAAUUAUUUGAGGUUAAUUUAGUAAAUUAGACAAAAAAAAGUGCCUAUAAAAUUUUAAUAUUGUUAGGAUAAAAAUAUCAUUAUAUAAACUAUCAUACAAGCAAGUGGAUCAAACAGCUUUUCUAAGCCUUAAACUCAACAAUGAUGAAAGUUAAAUCAAGCAUCAAUAUGGGUGAGAAGGAAUAAUCAAAUACAAUGGAAAAAACUAUUUUUGGCAUAUUGUCACGGACUUAGACUCCAAUUAAGCACUUCGUGCGAGACUUGACAACUUACUCAUAAAUUUUUCACCAUCUUGUAAGCUUAAGUAAGCUUUUUUCAUGAAUUUCUAAAAAGACUUUUAUAUUGCUUGUAAGAAUACUUG